UGCUUUAUCAUCGUUGACCCUAUGGAAGAUAAAACAUCAGUGAGCUGAACUGAUUGCUCCAUAAUUGCAAUAAACUGGGCUUCAAACACGAACUCGUUCGUAAAAUGCCAACAAACCAUAUAGUUCUCCGGCAAACCACAAAACUAUUAGUCAAAUCACACAAAUCGACCCUUCCAUUGGUUUGCAUCACGCGCAACGAUGUCAUGAUUUUGCGGUGUGUCACCUUAAUUGCCCUGUUUGUAUAUAUUUAAUCUGCGUAGGUGUCCCAUCGGUUUGUCCAGCUAUAAAUAUGUUCGGCAAUUUGGAAUCUCUAUCUCGACAGCCAUAAUCCUCAAUUAAUUAACGCUUGCAUCCGAUCCGUGCGUUCGUCCAAUACCACUAACAUAGAUGUAUGUGUGUUUGCAUAAUUUGCCUCCGUUCCCGCCUCCAGCGUUUCUGUUGGCUCGCAACAAAACAGAGCGCGUAAAUCCCAACCCCCAGCAUUUUUAUUUUGAAAAACGUUUUUGUUUCUAGUUUAACCACAACCACGGCACCGUUGGUUUGAAUCUAUUGCGUCAGACAAAAUUAAAGCGUGUGAAGGAAAAUAAAUAUGCCCGAUGCAAAUACCUAAAUGCUCUAGCAAAACCACAACCGCAUGCCACUGCCACUGCUGAUGCUGUAUGUGAUUAAGAACUCAGAAAAGACACUCUGGAGUACAGCAUCGUGAUAAUGAAAAGCUCCGCAUCGAGGAAUUGAACCCCAGCCAGCAAUAGUUUUAUCGCAGCAAAUAUGGUUUUAUAAAAAGGGGGCGGGGGCAGCGGCCAAAAAUACAAACAACUAAGUCGGAAUUAAUUGUGGCAUGGCCGCGGCUGUUUGUGCAGGAGGGUGAUCUGUUUCGAGUUGAAAUUGUUCAAACUGUGUUCAAAGAGCGCGGCGAUGAUCAAUCACGACGAGAGCUGUGUAUCAAUACACGAACGAUGGGGUUGAGUAUGAUCUUAUUUCAAAUUGAAAUGAUUGUUUGCGUUUGCUCGUGAAGUGGAAUUGUAAAUUAUAGAAUGGAUUAAAAUAUUCAAUUUGGUCUGUUUUCGAGAUGAAACGAGGAACGUUAAUAUUUAUGCCACGGGGAUGUAUAUGUGUGUGAAGUGUUUACGUGAAUUGCGAGUGCAUGAAGAAUUAUUUGAGAUUCAGAGCUUAUUUUAAUUAGAUUUUGCAACAGGGAUCUGUGUGCCGAUGGCCGAAAACCAAAACAAAGAAAAAUUAAUGUAUUUCUGUAGUACUUUGUAUAAAUAACAAUACAUGUGUAUCAUUA